rnacentral:rRNA from 1 species
GAUGAACGCUGGCGGCGUGCUUAACACAUGCAAGUCGAACGAUGAAGCCCAGCUUGCUGGGUGGAUUAGUGGCGAACGGGUGAGUAACACGUGAGUAACCUGCCCUUAACUCUGGGAUAAGCCUGGGAAACUGGGUCUAAUACCGGAUAGGAGCGUCCACCGCAUGGUGGGUGUUGGGAAGAUUUAUCGGUUUUGGAUGGACUCGCGGCCUAUCAGCUUGUUGGUGAGGUAAUGGCUCACCAAGGCGACGACGGGUAGCCGGCCUGAGAGGGUGACCGGCCACACUGGGACUGAGACACGGCCCAGACUCCUACGGGAGGCAGCAGUGGGGAAUAUUGCACAAUGGGCGCAAGCCUGAUGCAGCGACGCCGCGUGAGGGAUGACGGCCUUCGGGUUGUAAACCUCUUUCAGUAGGGAAGAAGCGAAAGUGACGGUACCUGCAGAAGAAGCACCGGCUAACUACGUG